GAGACAGCAGUCGCCACGGUAAUACGAAGGGGGCUAGCGUUGCUCGGAAUUACUGGGCGUAAAGGGCGCGUAGGCGGCGCUCCAAGUUAGGCGUGAAAUUCCCGGGCUCAACCUGGGGACUGCGCUUAAGACUGGAGUGCUUGAGGAUGGAAGAGGGUUGUGGAAUUCCCAGUGUAGAGGUGAAAUUCGUAGAUAUUGGGGAGAACACCGGUGGCGAAGGCGGCAACCUGGUCCAUUACUGACGCUGAGGCGCGAUAGCGUGGGGAGCAAACAGGAUUAGAUACCCCAGUAGUCCCUGUCUCUUAUAC
rnacentral:rRNA from 1 species